rnacentral:rRNA from 1 species
GACGAACGCUGGCGGCGUGCCUAAUACAUGCAAGUCGAGCGGACCAAAGGGAGCUUGCUCCUGGAGGUUAGCGGCGAACGGGUGAGUAACACGUGGGCAACCUGCCUGUAAGACUGGGAUAACAUCGAGAAAUCGGUGCUAAUACCGGAUAAUAAAAAGAACUGCAUGGUUCUUUUUUGAAAGAUGGUUUCGGCUAUCACUUACAGAUGGGCCCGCGGCGCAUUAGCUAGUUGGUGAGGUAACGGCUCACCAAGGCGACGAUGCGUAGCCGACCUGAGAGGGUGAUCGGCCACACUGGGACUGAGACACGGCCCAGACUCCUACGGGAGGCAGCAGUAGGGAAUCUUCCGCAAUGGACGAAAGUCUGACGGAGCAACGCCGCGUGAGUGAUGAAGGUUUUCGGAUCGUAAAACUCUGUUGUUAGGGAAGAACAAGUGCCGUUCGAAAGGGCGGCGACCUUGACGGUACCUAACGAGAAAGCCACGGCUAACUACGUGCCAGCAGCCGCGGUAA